UGGGGAAUAUUGCACAAUGGGGGAAACCCUGACCCAGCAACGCCGCGUGAAGGAAGAAGGCUUUCGGGUUGUAAACUUCUUUUACCAGGGACGAAGGACGUGACGGUACCUGGAGAAAAAGCAACGGCUAACUACGUGCCAGCAGCCGCGGUAAUACGUAGGUGGCGAGCGUUAUCCGGAAUUAUUGGGCGUAAAGAGGGAGCAGGCGGCACUAAAGGUCUGUGGUGAAAGCCCGAAGCUUAACUUCGGUAAGCCAUGGAAACCGUAGAGCUAGAGUGUGUGAGAGGAUCGUGGAAUUCCAUGUGUAGCGGUGAAAUGCGUAGAUAUAUGGAGGAACACCAGUGGCGAAGGCGACGAUCUGGCGCACAACUGACGCUCAGUCCCGAAAGCGUGGGGAGCAAAUAGGAUUAGAUACC
rnacentral:rRNA from 1 species